UUGGUUUGAGGGUAAACCAGUGCGAGAAGUGUACAAAAAUACACGAGCAGCAGAAGACCGGCUUCGGAGGAGAGGAUCGGCACAAAUAUCGGUUCUUCCAUUCCUCGUGCCGAAAUAAACCGGUUCAGUUACCAUCCGCUGAAACCGGAUCCAUUCAAAUCCAACCCAACCGGAGAAGUACUUCUGUAAACCCUAACCGGUCCAUCUUUACGGUUCUCUUCUCUUUCACACGAACUCGGUUCUUCUCUCCCGCUCACUCAUCCUUCAAUAAACCGCGUAUGUACUUUCAUUCUUCCUCGUAUCUGUUUUCACUUCUUAAACUUUUGUUUUUUUAUUUGAUAAAUUUAAGGUUUAUAGUCAAAGAUUCAAAGAUUGAAACUUUACGAUAA